GUGCUUGCUUCGGCAGCACAUAUACUAAAAUUGGAAUGAUGUAGAGAAGAUUAGCAUGGCUCCUGCACAGGGAUGACACGCAAAUUCAGGAAGUGGUCCAUAUUUUUU
ensembl:snRNA U6 spliceosomal RNA